rnacentral:rRNA from 1 species
CAUACGGGCGGCAGCAGUGGGGAAUAUUGGACAAUGGGCGAAAGCCUGAUCCAGCCAUGCCGCGUGUGUGAAGAAGGCCUUCGGGUUGUAAAGCACUUUCAGUGGGGAAGAAAGCCUUGGGGCUAAUACCCUCGAGGAAGGACAUCACCCACAGAAGAAGCACCGGCUAACUCCGUGCCAGCAGCCGCGGUGAAUACGGAGGGUGCGAGCGUUAAUCGGAAUUACUGGGCGUAAAGCGCGCGUAGGCGGUCUGAUAAGCCGGUUGUGAAAGCCCCGGGCUCAACCUGGGAACGGCAUCCGGAACUGUCAGGCUAGAGUGCAGGAGAGGAAGGUAGAAUUCCCGGUGUAGCGGUGAAAUGCGUAGAGAUCGGGAGGAAUACCAGUGGCGAAGGCGGCCUUCUGGACUGACACUGACGCUGAGGUGCGAAAGCGUGGGUAGCAAACAGGAUUAGAUACCCUAGUAGUC